GAGAGAGAGAGAGAGAGAGAGAGAGAGAGAGAGAGAAUGUGUGCACGCAGAUAUAAGAAGUUGGGGUUGAUGAUCCACAUGAUGGUGAUGGACCAGGACAGCUCUGGACCUCCUGACUGGCAGCUCCAUCCUCAACCUCUCUUCCUGCCCUUCACACAUGUGCAGGCAGAGAGGCAGUUUUCUGAAGGAUGGUUGAUGUCAGUACCAACAUGUUGUGAUGGAGGCUUCCACCUGAGCUGAACACAGAAACUUGCACACAGUGAUGGAAGCAGUCGUUCCUGUUCAGCAUUGAUAUGCCGGUAAUGGGUUUGAUGAGCCACAGCAUGGUGAUGGGCAAUCAGCAUCAGGACCACGGCCGCUCACAAGGAGAACCUCCUGCCUCUUCAUCCUCAACCUCCAAUCUUCCUGCUCUUCACACAUGUGCAGGCACGGAGCCAGUUUUCAGAGGGAGGGCUGAUGACACCAGCAACUUCGGAUCUGAACCUGAUCAACCCAGCACCAACCACUGUGCCGCUCCUCCUCUACCAACUGCACCACAUGGCUCCACCAUCUCAAAAAGGCACAGACACUACUCCACUUCCUGCGAAGGAUGAGAGAAGAGCCGACCUCCCCACAACGGCACUCACCACCUUCUACAGGGGUGUCAUUGAGAGCAUCCUGACCAGCAGCCUCUCUGUCUGGCAUGGCAGCCGUCAAGAGUGGUGAGGACAGCAGAAAAGCUCAUAAGAUCACCCCUACCAGCCAUUCCGGAUCUGUACACUUCACACUGUUCCAAGAGGGCAAUGAACAUCAUAAAGACACAACUCAUCCAGCACACAGACUGUUCUCCCUACUACCAUCAGGGAAGCGCUAGCCCAGCAUGCGGUGCUGCAAAAGCACACUGGGAAACGGCUUCUUUCCACAAGCCAUCAGACUCCUCAACGCACUGAAGAAAACCACAUGAAUAACCAAGGACACGAGAGAAUAUUCCAUGAACACUUCUUUCACCAUGCCACUUACACUUUACUCAUUGCACCUUGUAUACAGCAUCUUCACAUCACCUGUAUGAACUCCUCCUGCCAUGUGUGUGUGUGUCCACUGUGUUUGUGUAUUUAUUGUCCAUCAGUAUGUUAAUUGCACACUGUUUGUGUGUCUGUGUGAGUGUAUUUAUUGUAUGUAUCAGUCUGUAUUUAAUGUCAAUGCCUUAUUUUUAGUUAUUAGUUAAAUGCACAUUGGAGACUGGUCAAACACAAUUUCAAACUUUGUGUUAACCCUCCAUAGAUUUUUGUCAAAAAAUUGAGUCUAAUCUACUGUACUACACAGGCUAUCAACAGACCACACAGUUGAGUGCUGUUUUAUGCACUCUGAAUAUGAGGAGAGGGAGAGGUGACCGUUCACACUUCAUAGUGUAAAAGUAAAC